CAGGCCAGAAAUUUUGCAAGAGC
rnacentral:miRNA from 1 species